rnacentral:rRNA from 1 species
GAUGAACGCUGACAGAAUGCUUAACACAUGCAAGUCAACUUGAACUUCGGUUUGGGUGGCGGACGGGUGAGUAACGCGUAAAGAACUUGCCUCACAGAUAGGGACAACAUUUGGAAACGAAUGCUAAUACCUGAUAUUAUGAUUAUAUGGCAUCGUAUAAUUAUGAAAGCUAUAUGCGCUGGGAGAGAGCUUUGCGUCCCAUUAGCUAGUUGGAGAGGUAACGGCUCACCAAGGCGAUGAGGGGUAGCCGGCCUGAGAGGGUGAUCGGCCACAAGGGGACUGAGACACGGCCCUUACUCCUACGGGAGGCAGCAGUGGGGAAUAUUGGACAAUGGACCAAGAGUCUGAUCCAGCAAUUCUGUGUGCACGAUGAAGUUUUUCGGGAUGUAAAGUGCUUUCAGUUGGGAAGAAAAAAAUGACGGUACCAACAGAAGAAGUGACGGCUAAAUACGUG